rnacentral:rRNA from 1 species
AGUUUGGUUUGCUUGCAAACCAAAGCUGGCGACCGGCGCACGGGUGAGUAACACGUAUGCAAUCCACCUGUAACAGGGGGAUAACCCGGAGAAAUCCGGACUAAUACCCCAUGAUAUGGGCUCUCCGCAUGGAGGGUCCAUUAAAGAGAGCAAUCUUGGUUACAGACGAGCAUGCGCUCCAUUAGCCAGUUGGCGGGGUAACGGCCCACCAAGGCGACGAUUGGUAGCCGGACUGAGAGGGCGGACGGCCACAUUGGGACUGAGACACGGCCCAAACUCC